rnacentral:rRNA from 1 species
GCCGGGAACUACGAGCAGAGCUUAAAACCCAAAGGACUUGACGGUACCCCAUAUCACCCUAGAGGAGCCUGUCCUAUAAUCGAUAAUCCCCGUUUCACCUCACCACAUCUAGCUUUUUCAGCCUGUAUACUUCCGUCGUCAGCUUACCACGUGAGCGUAAUAUAGUUAGCUUAAUGUCCAUACUUUAAUUUGUAUCGUCAAUACGUCAGGUCAAAGUGCAGCAAAUGUUGUGGAAAGAGAUUGGCUACACUUUUUAGUUUAAAAAAAACAGAACACAUAAAUGAAAUUUUGUGUAAAGGUGGAUUUAGAAGUAAAAAGAAAUCAUAAUAUUCAUUUUAACAAAGCACUGGGGCGUGU